rnacentral:ncRNA from 4 species
UCAGUGCACUACAGAACUUUGUU